rnacentral:lncRNA from 1 species
GUAAGUUGCUAUGACAACACCUUUAAAAUAAACUUUCUUAAGGUAUAUUGAAUCUACUAUUGAUACACAGUUAGGAUUUAUUUUAAUGGACACUCAUAAUGUCUCUUUGCUGUUCACAUACAAUAUAAAAGAAGAAAGUUAUAUUCUUUACACAAAUUUUGAAAUUAAGAAGGUUUAUUAUUUGUUUUUAAAAUCUAUUCGGAUACAAGUACUUAUGAUCCAUUGUAUUAUUAGUAGUACACGUUUGUUUUGUUCAGUUAUCCCAUACAUUCAACAACGUCAGAAUUUUAAAUCCUUUCUUGAGAAAUUUUGAAAAUCAAUAUGUUAGUGUAGCCGCUGGAGACUAUCAGCCUAUUUUCAUCUUUGUAAAAGAAUAUUGCUGAUGGUAAUCGUAGACCGUCCGACCCCAUAAGGAUUUCUCUAUGAAAUUUUCCAUCACUUGAUAGGACUACAACGUUAUCCGAUGACUCUCCAGUUAUAUACAGGUUUCCAUAUUUGUCAAAUGCACCACCACGUGGAUGCACCAUGACACUUUUAUAGUUGAAUGUCCAAAGUGGUUCUCCAGACUUGUUGGUACAUAUGACAGAACAUGUAUCAUUCGAAUAAUAUAUUUUGUCUUCAGAUGUCACUACAAAUGAUUCAAAAGGUAAUUUCCCUUUAAUAAAAAUUAAUGUUUUAUAAUCUCUUUUAUCAAUUUGAUAUAUACCCUU